CCUACGGGGGGCAGCAGUGAGGAAUAUUGGUCAAUGGGCGAGAGCCUGAACCAGCCAAGUCGCGUGAGGGAGUACUGCCCUAUGGGUUGUAAACCUCUUUUGUCGGGGAGUAAAAGCUGGACGUGUCCGGCUGUGAGAGUACCCGAAGAAAAAGCAUCGGCUAACUUCGUGCCAGCAGCCGCGGUAAUACGGGGGAUGCGAGCGUUAUCCGGAUUUAUGGGGUUUAAAGGGUGCGCAGGCGGAUUUUUAAGUUAGCGGUCAAAUCGUGGGGCUAAACCCCAUCCAGCCGUUGAAACUGGGGAUCUAGAGUGUGCUAGAGGUAUGCGGAAUGCGUGGUGUAGCGGUGAAAUGCAUAGAUAUCACGCAGAACACCGAUUGCGAAGGCAGCAGACCGGUGCACAACUGACGCUGAGGCACGAAAGCGUGGGUAUCGAACAGGAUUAGAUACCCUGGUAGUC
rnacentral:rRNA from 1 species